UGCCCAGCAACUCCUAUCCCUACCUCCUCGUGGUACUGGCCGGGGUACGAGUAACCUUAGGGAAGAUCGGGUAACCAACCCCCGGUGGGAACUUUGGUCGUAUGCUGACAGGGAAGG
rfam:Aedes aegypti strain Liverpool supercont1.1152 genomic scaffold, whole genome shotgun sequence.